rnacentral:rRNA from 1 species
GACGAACGCUGGCGGCGUGCCUAAUACAUGCAAGUUGAGCGCUGAAGGUUGGUACUUGUACCAACUGGAUGAGCAGCGAACGGGUGAGUAACGCGUGGGGAAUCUGCCUUUGAGCGGGGGACAACAUUUGGAAACGAAUGCUAAUACCGCAUAAAAACUUUAAACACAAGUUUUAAGUUUGAAAGAUGCAAUUGCAUCACUCAAAGAUGAUCCCGCGUUGUAUUAGCUAGUUGGUGAGGUAAAGGCUUACCAAGGCGAUGAUACAUAGCCGACCUGAGAGGGUGAUCGGCCACAUUGGGACUGAGACACGGCCCAAACUCCUACGGGAGGGAGCAGUAGGGAAUCUUCGGCAAUGGACGAAAGUCUGACCGAGCAACGCCGCGUGAGUGAAGAAGGUUUUCGGAUCGUAAAACUCUGUUGGUAGAGAAGAACGUUGGUGAGAGUGGAAAGCUCAUCAAGUGACGGUAACUACCCAGAAAGGGACGGCUAACUACGUG